rnacentral:rRNA from 1 species
CGUGAGCAAUCUGCCUUUCAGAGGGGGAUACCGAUUGGAAACGAUCGUUAAUACCGCAUAAUAUAAUUGAACCGCAUGAUUUGAUUAUCAAAGAUUUAUCGCUGAAAGAUGAGCUCGCGUCUGAUUAGCUAGUUGGUAAGGUAACGGCUUACCAAGGCGACGAUCAGUAGCCGGACUGAGAGGUUGAUCGGCCACAUUGGGACUGAGACACGGCCCAGACUCCUACGGGAGGCAGCAGUGGGGAAUAUUGCACAAUGGAGGAAACUCUGAUGCAGCGAUGCCGCGUGAGGGAAGAAGGUUUUAGGAUUGUAAACCUCUGUCUUCAGGGACGAAAAAAGACGG